rnacentral:rRNA from 1 species
CUACGGGAGGCAGCAGUCGAGAAUUUUUCACAAUGGGCGAAAGCCUGAUGGAGCGACGCCGCGUGGGGGAUGAAUGGCUUCGGCCCGUAAACCCCUGUCAUUCGCGAUCAACCCUUAUUAUUUAAAAGAUGAUAAGCUGAUAGUAGCGGAAGAGGAAGGGACGGCUAACUCUGUGCCAGCAGCCGCGGUAAUACAGAGGUCCCAAGCGUUGUUCGGAUUCACUGGGCGUAAAGGGUGCGUAGGUGGUCAGGUAAGUCGGAUGUGAAAGCUCGGAGCUCAACUCCGAAAUGGCAUUGGAAACUACCUGGCUAGAGGAAUGGAGGGGGGACUGGAAUUCUCGGUGUAGCAGUGAAAUGCGUAGAUAUCGAGAGGAACACCAGUGGCGAAGGCGAGUCCCUGGACAUCUCCUGACACUGAGGCACGAAAGCUAGGGGAGCAAACAGGAUUAGAUACCCCGGUAGU